GCCGGCAGAGCUCAGUUGGUAGAGCAACUGAUUUGUAAUCAGUAGGUCGCGGGUUCGAUUCCUGCUGCCGGCACCA
rnacentral:tRNA from 1 species